UUCAGUAGGAGGGGGAGGGAUGGUCCUCGAGCUGUUUGAUAUUUUUGAAAAAGUAUUUGAAGAGUUUUUACGCCUGCGACAGUACAGUUCUAGUAUUUUUUCGGUGACGGUUAAAUAUUCUUGCAACGACAAAUAGAGAUAAUCAUCAUGUUCGCCUUAGUGCUGUUUUCAGAUGGUGUUUAUCACAUUUGUUAACAGAAAUAAGUGAAAAAAUUGGUUGGGAAGAAAAAUGUGAGUGCUCCUUAUAAAAGCUGUGGCCGUUUUGAGGCGGAACUAAUUGCGGAAAGCAGUGAGUAUAUAAUUUUCAUAAUUUUUAAUUCUUGAUUAUACUUGAGAUAAUUUCAGAUAAUAGGAAGGAGCUGUUAACUCUGAAGCAGAAGUUAGAGGCUGAAGAAAAAAAUUCAUCUGAAUCUACAUCAAAAACGACUGUGAAUAGUGAAAUCACAGUCAUUUCAAGCAAAUAUGAUGAAAAAUCCAAUCAAAGACAAGACGAUUUGGAAAUCUUCAAUGAUGAAAAUUCAAUCAGGAAUCCCGGGACAGCCAUUGUAUUUGAAGCUCCGUCCCCUAAUGUCAAAUGCCGUACAAUGCGUUGGUCUGAAGAAGAGAAACGAAUAGCUUCAGAAGGCUUCAAAGAAUACAUUAUGAAUAAUACAUUGCCAUCAUUCCAAAAAAUGCACGAGGUCAUGAAUACAAAUCCAGGUGUAUUUCAAAGAAGUGUAGCCACUAUUAAAACCUGGGUCAAAAAUGAAAAGCUGAAAAAAUCAA